GGUUGACCUCGGAUCAGGUAGGGAUACCCGCUGAACUUAAGCAUAUCAAUAAGCGGAGGAAAAGAAACCAACAGGGAUUGCCUCAGUAACGGCGAGUGAAGCGGCAACAGCUCAAAUUUGAAAUCUGGCUCCCCUGGGGGUCCGAGUUGUAAUUUGUAGAGGAUGCUUCGGGCAAGGCUGCGGUCUAAUUCGCUUGGAACAGCGGGUCACAGAGGGUGAGAAUCCCGUCUAGGACCGCGUGCCGCGUCCAUGCGAAGCUCCUUCGACGAGUCGAGUUGUUUGGGAAUGCAGCUCUAAAUGGGUGGUAAAUUUCAUCUAAAGCUAAAUAUUGGCCAGAGACCGAUAGCGCACAAGUAGAGUGAUCGAAAGAUGAAAAGCACUUUGAAAAGAGAGUUAAACAGUAUGUGAAAUUGUUGAAAGGGAAGCGCUUGCAAUCAGACUUGAGUGGGGCGGUUCCCCCGGUCUCCUGACCGGGCUAUUCCGUCAUCUCCAGGCCAGCAUCGGUCUGGGUGGUCGGUUAAAGGCCCCGGGAAUGUAUCUACCUUCGGGUCGACUUAUAGCCCGGGGCGCAAUGCGGCCCACCCGGACCGAGGUACGCGCUUCGGCUCGGAUGCUGGCGUAAUGGUUGCAAGCGGCCCGUCUUGAAACACGGACCAAGGAGUCUAACAUCUAUGCGAGUGUUUGGGUGUCAAACCCCUACGCGUAAUGAAAGUGAACGGUGGUAAGAACCCCGCCCAGGGGCGCAUUAUCGACCGAUCCUGAUGUCUUCGGAUGGAUUUGAGUAAGAGCAUAGCUGUUGGGACCCGAAAGAUGGUGAACUAUGCCUAGAUAGGGUGAAGCCAGAGGAAACUCUGGUGGAGGCUCGCAGCGGUUCUGACGUGCAAAUCGAUCGUCAAAUCUGGGUAUAGGGGCGAAAGACCAAUCGAACCAUUGAGAAUAUUGGGUCAAAAAAGCUACCGGGUGGUUCUUUAACAGUCCUUUGGGGCUACAUCGUCCUUCUGGCGGGGAUCAACACCCGCAGCAGCCUCGGCUGUCCACAGACUAGGAGACGGUGGUCAUCUUGACGAAA
rnacentral:rRNA from 1 species